UGUAGGGUACAAGUAAAAUUUUCUGCCCCUACGGCUCACUACGAAUCAAGAAUCCUUCUGAAGAGGUUUCGUUUUAGAACGAAGAACGCCUUUCAUCUCAUACAUGUUAAACGCACCACCUUCAUCCUUAUCAGAAUCCUAACUCCAUCUCCGCACACGCAAACCGACAUGCGACCAAACAGAUGAUUCAAAGAAUCGACCCCAACCUCCAUCGGCGAAACAAGAACGUGAGUAUAUCAGACGAUUUAGAUACAAAAUGGGAAUAUUUGAAGGAAAGGGAACCGAGCGUUUUCGUCGUCGCAACGUUGAUGCUCGAUUGCGAUGUUUGACGAUCGUUGCGCUUCAAUCGCUGUGUAUUAUGGAAUUCGGCGUGAUGGAUAACUGAGUUAUCAUUCUGCGGAAUGAAUAGGAUCCCUUUUAAAUUUCCCCGGCGAAUCAAAGAUGGACGGAAAUAAAGCUCUCCUUCAUUGUAGGUGUUGUUUCUGGAAGGUAUCGAAGGUUUUUGGAAGUGAAGUUCGUUAGAAGGUGAAGAAAUUGGGGUGGUGAUUGGUGAGAUUGUGAAAGGUUGUCGAGAAAGUUGAAGAAGGAGAUUGAAUAGACUCUUUUUGCAGGGUUUUUUCUGUGAUUGUUAUAGGGUGAUGGUGAUGGUUUGAAGGGAGUUGGUUCUUGAGAAUUGGUUGUUGAGAGCUGUUAUAUAUCGAUUUCGGUUCUGUUAUCGAGUUUUUAUUGAAGGGAUUGUUGUUGAUUGAAGAGGAAGAGAAGAAUUCUGUUAGGCUUUUGGUUCCACUUUUUAAGUUCGGUUAUGUCAAUUAGGAUGGUUGAAGAGUCGGUUAGAAGUUGAAAUUAGAAUCUAUUAUGAAUUUGUUAGGGAAGAUGGUUAAUUCUAUUUCUAUUAUGUUUGCAGGUUGAAGAAAAUUGGAGAGGUUUUGUUAUCAGUUGGAACAAGGUGGUUGAAAAGUAAGUUAGAAAAGAAACUGUCAUGAGGUUCUGUUAAAGGAUGAGAUGGAAUUUCGGUUGGGAUCUUUGGUUAGUUCUUUUUGAAUUUGGAAGUUCACUUCCUGCAGGUUUUCUGUUUGGUCCUGCUGCCGGUCCUCACGAUCGCUUUUAAUAUCCUUCUCGACGGAAGCUCUUGGUGAGUUUUCUUUUAUUUGUGAAAUUUUGUUAGAUAGUUAGUUAUAUUGCAGUUGAGUUGGUGAAAAUUGUGGAAGGGUUCCGUUAUAUGGUGGUUAUGAAGAGUGCAGAAGGGGGUUAUUUGAAGGUUCAAAUGAAGGGUGAAUGAAGACUGGCCAAAUGUGAACCCUCCAGGUUGCAGUGAAUUCCCUCUUUGAAGUUACCUCCAAUUAUGUUAUACUCCUCCUUCUCACUUUGAGCAAUUCUUGGUGGUUUUUAUUAUGCUUCCGUCUUUUGAAGGUUUGGACAGUUUGUAGAUUAUGGACAUGGUUUGGAAUUGGAUCAAUGCAUUGGCUAUGAAGCUACUUGGAAUAUGAAAUGGAAUGCUUAUUGAUGGAAUUUGAACCAUGCUUUGUAGUUUUUUUUGAAAUGUUAUAAUGUCAUGUAGAAUAUUGGGACUUUGUAAUGUAACUUUGGAAUUGAAAUUGUGAAAAAAUGAAUUGGUUAAAUGUGAAAAUGUAUAAGUUGAAUUGGAAUAUAUUGAAAUGGUUCCAUGAAUUUAUGAAUGUAA